UGGUUCUGGCAUCGAUGAAGAACGCAGCGAAAUGCGAUAAGUAAUGUGAAUUGCAGAAUUCAACGAAUCAUCGAAUCUUUGAACGCAUAUUGCGCCCAUUAGUAUUCUAUUGGGCAUGCCUGUUCGAGCGUCAUUACAACCCUCAAGCCCUGGCUGCUUGGUGUUGGGAUGUCUACAGAUAUUGUAGAUCCCGAAAAUCAGUGGCGGAAUCGCUGUGAACCCGAGCGUAGUAAAAUAUCUCUCGCUUAGGGGCACAUAGCGGGUACUUGCCGUUAAAAUCCACUAUAUUAUUUGAAAGGUUGACCUCGGAUCAGGUAGGAAUACCCGCUGA
rnacentral:misc_RNA from 1 species